rnacentral:sRNA from 1 species
AGCUGCUGCACGUAGCGACCCAGUCCGUUGUGGAGAACACUGGCCAAAAAGCGGCUCGCAGUCCCGCGCGCCGUCAUAGCUACAGCUUGGAGGCCGCGGAGCCUAAGCAGCAAGGAGAGGGGGGCGGGACUAAAUCUUGAGGCUUCCGGUUCCGGGACGACCGCUCCCGGAGUUUUGCUUCCGAGGUCAAGGGGGUGAACACACUGUGGGGUAGCUUCGAGAUCAGUAAUGUGAGACUAGCCCGGGUCAUGCUGACACAGUUUGCCGAGGGGCGGCUGGAAGAUCAGCUGGACAAAUAUGAUCACUGGGCUGACCGCUUUGAGGACCUGCCCCUCUAUUUCAUGACUUUCCAUGGACAGCAGAGCAUCAGGACUGUAAUAGAUACAAUGCAACAUGCAAUCUACGUCUAUGACAUUUGUCAUGUGGUCAUCGACAACCUGCAGUUCAUGAUGGGUCACGAGCAGCUGUCCACAGACAGGAUUGCAGCUCAAGACUACAUCAUCGGGGUCUUUCGGAAGUUUGCAACAGACAAUAACUGCCAUGUGACGCUGGUCAUUCACCCCCGGAAAGAGGAUGAUGACAAGGAACUGCAGACAGCGUCCAUUUUUGGCUCAGCCAAAGUGAGUGGCCUUUAGGAGCUCAAGCUUUGGAAAAUAGAGUGGGCAAGCCAGGAAGCAGACAAUGUUCUGAUCCUGCAGGACAGGAAGCUGGUAACCGGGCCAGGGAAACGGUAUCUGCAGGUGUCCAAGAACCGCUUUGAUGGAGAUGUAGGUGUCUUCCCGCUUGAGUUCAACAAGAACUCCCUCACCUUCUCCAUUCCACCAAAGAACAAGGCC